UCUCUAUCGCUCCUUCUGUCUCUCCCCCCGCCCCCUCCGCUCCACCCCAUAACUCUGUGAGAAGAGGGUGGACAUCUGGCUGACAGCUCUUUCUGUCUCUCCCCCUGCUCCCCUCUGCCACACCCCAUAAUUCUGUAAGAAGAGGGUGGACAUCUGGCUGACAGUUAGAUGCUCCUGAAGACACUGUGUCUCCUAACAGCAUGCGUGGAAUCCAGUGCUAACACUGCUUCCAGCUCCAGCUUCCUUCCCCUUGUGCUCCCUGGAAUGCAGCAAGAAGUGUCAAGAGGAAGGUCUCUCUUUGUCUGCCUGUCUCUUUCUUCCUGCUUUGCAGAUACUAAUAAACUAUAAAAAGAAGUUAAGUGAAAAUUCUAAGUCACAAACUGGAAACACUUGGGUCUGGCCUCAGCCAGAAACUUGAGUGCAAAUGAGUCUUCAUACCAAACCUCUGCUACCCGCCCCUGGCUUUUGAGCGAGAGAAAAGGGAAGCCAUGAAAGCGUGACAUUGGCCACACUGGCCACGCGGACCUAUCUGCAGGCUUUGAACUUGCCCUGCAGCUUCGCUGUCUCCCUGCUGUUUGCCCACCUGGAUCUGCCACUUGGACCUCCCAUUGAAGGAAACUGUCUCCAAGAUCCUCUGAGAAGACACCUCAGCAUCUCCACGUUCUACCCUGACAGGCAGCAGGUGAUGACUCAAGUCCUGGGGUCUCUGCUAUGAGAAACUAAGAUGGAGGUCCUGGCUCCCCAGUUUCAACCUAAUACAAGAUCAGCUGUUGUAGACCCUUAGGGAAUGAAUCAGCAGAUGGAAGAUAUCUGUGUGAGUGUGUUGCUCUGCCUUUCAAA